UGAGGAAUAUUGGUCAAUGGGCGCAAGCCUGAACCAGCCAUGUCGCGUGCAGGACGACUGCCCUAUGGGUUGUAAACUGCUUUUGUAUGGGAAGAAAUAGUGGUACGUGUACCACUUUGCCGGUACCAUACGAAUAAGGAUCGGCUAACUCCGUGCCAGCAGCCGCGGUAAUACGGAGGAUCCAAGCGUUAUCCGGAUUUAUUGGGUUUAAAGGGUGCGUAGGCGGUUUAAUAAGUCAGUGGUGAAAUCUUGCAGCUUAACUGUAAAAUUGCCAUUGAUACUGCUAGACUUGAGUAUAGUUGAGGUGGGCGGAAUGUGUUGUGUAGCGGUGAAAUGCAUAGAUAUAACACAGAACACCAAUUGCGAAGGCAGCUCACUAAGCUAUAACUGACGCUGAGGCACGAAAGCGUGGGUAGCGAACAGG
rnacentral:rRNA from 1 species